AUGCUGGGGAGUGGUGGUGGUGGGGUGGGAGAUGUUGACAAGCUGGAAAGCGUCCAGAGGAGGGCGACUAAAAUGAUUAAGGGUCUGGAGAACAAGCCCUAUGAGGAGCGGCUUAAAGAGCUGGGCAUGUUUAGCCUGCAGAAGAGAAGGCUGAGAGGAGACAUGAUAGCCAUGUACAAAUAUGUGAAGGGAAGUCAUAGGGAAGAGGGAGCAAGCUUGUACAUGGCUAUCAUGUCUCCUCUCAGCCUUCUCUUAAUGUUCUUGCUCUUGAUAUGUGCCUGUAAUUCAACACCAACCUAUAGAAAACUUGUCUAAAAGUUUUCUUCGUGAGAUUUAUUCAGAAAAGUCUGCCAUUGCCUUCCUCUGAAAGAGUGGGAUUUACCCAAGAUCAUUCAGGAGGUUGUGUGGCUAAUUGGGGAUUCUAGUCCUGAUCUUCCACAGUCCUGAUCCAACACUCAAACCACUGCACCAUGCUAGUUAUAAUGAAAAUAUGACCUACGAUCUUCUGUAAACUGUUUCCCAUUCCUAUUUUCCACUUCCAAUAUAUGCAACCAGAGUUAAGCCCAAGUACGUGCAUUGACCAUGAUUACAUUUGCAGAUUUUUGUUAUUUAAUCCCAGUCAAUCCUAUGAAACUAUGAUGGAUAUGAGAGACCCUUUUCCUGCUUUACCUGUGUCCUUUUUUGGAGAAGAAGGAUUUCUCAAAAUCUUCAUUCCUUUAAGGUUUUUUUCCUUUAUUAUCGGCAUAUUGGAGUUCUAUAACAGAUGUUGUUGUGACCUUGGUUUUGGCAUUCAGUCUGCUGAAGUUAAAUAGCUCACCAUAUAUCCAAUAAAUGAUUUCCACUCUGGUGAGAAGCUUCCCAUCAACAACAUGAAAUAUCAUAGCGAUGAAGAUGGAAAAUAAGGUUGGGGCAAUAACACAUCCCUGUUUGACACCUGAUUCCACCUUAAAUUGAUCACUUUGUGAGCCAUUGCUGUCCAAGACUGUUGCCAUCACGUCAUUGUGGAGGAGCUGCAGGAUGUUCACAAAUUUGUCAGGGCAUCCAAUUUUUUUGGAGGAUGGUCCAGUCAGGUCUGCAAUCAGUGUGAAUGCCUUUGCAAGGUCAAUU
rnacentral:lncRNA from 1 species